ensembl:lncRNA
ACACUAAUUUGGACCAUUCAGGUUUUCAUUGUGUAGCAGUUUCUAAUGUUAUUUAAUCUUGUUCUGUUGUUUUGUAGAUCUGGGAUUCUUUGACUCUUUAACUGUGCCGUUGUCCUCUACUUCCUGGCCUUUGGUUUUUCAGACAAACAGAAUAAGAGAUGUGUUUGGACCAGACAGAGCUCUGGGACGUGUGGACAGACAUUCACUGUGAUGAUGGACAUCUCCUCAUGGACAGAAGCAUAACCACUGCUGGACAUGGUUCCGGGGCUCGGGGGGGACCCGAAUCAUCCCCACCCCUUCAUUCACACAACACUCACUCACAUCGCAGAGAUCUGGUUGGGAUCGAACCAGCAACCUCUGAACCAUGAGGCAGCGCUCUUACCUGUGAGCCACAGAUCUCUUGCUUGAAUGUGUGCUGGAACUUAUAUUUCACUGUUCACCUGAAUGUGGUUUUACAAUAAGCUGGUUAAAGCUUUGGCAGAGUCUUUCCUGAAUCACACCCACUCCUUCAUAUCUCAAAGAUCUGGCUGGGAUCUAACCAGCAACCUCUGAACCAUGAGGCAGCGCUCUUACCUGUGAGCCACAGAUAUCUUGUUGCAAAGUGUUAAGUAACUUAUAUUUCACCACUCACCUGUGAUAUAAACCAGGUAAAUUUUGACAUGUUCAGGUGGGAUUUGAAUCCUUGUCUGGAUCACAGCCUUCACUUCCAAGCACAUGUAUUUAGCUACUAGUGCCACCGUGGCUUUCAAAAAGAGAGCUGGCAUUUAGAGCACUGCUUUUGAUAUAUGACGACAAUUUAACACAAGCAAUAAAGGGAUUUGAACUCAGCUCUCCA